rnacentral:rRNA from 1 species
UACGUAGGGUGCAAGCGUUGUCCGGAAUUAUUGGGCGUAAAGAGCUCGUAGGCGGUCUGUUACGUCGGCUGUGAAAACCUGGGGCUCAACCCCGGGCCUGCAGCCGAUACGGGCAGACUAGAGUUCGGUAGGGGAGACUGGAAUUCCUGGUGUAGCGGUGAAAUGCGCAGAUAUCAGGAGGAACACCGGUGGCGAAGGCGGGUCUCUGGGCCGAUAUUGACGCUGAGGAGCGAAAGCGUGGGGAGCGAACAGG